UCCGGGAUGGUGUAAGUGGCAACACGCCGGUCUCUGAAAUCGGAGAGUGAAGGUUCGAGGCCUUCUCCCGGAGCCA
rnacentral:tRNA from 1 species